CGGAAAAAGCUGGGCACUGUGGGAAAUGCUGUCAGCUCCUCACUGAGGAGCCAAAACCAAGAGGAUCGCUGGAGGUUGCUUGCAAGCCAGGCUAGCCACUCGAGGAGCUCCAGGGUGGGGGAGAAAUACCACCAAAAGGAUAAAAUGGGGAGUGGCUGAGGCACACACCCAGGAUCGACCUUUGAUCCUCAGACAGAGACAGAGACAGACAGAGACCGAAGUGUACUUAAUGGUUCUGUGUUCUUUCGUACAACUGGGAAAUACACUAACUACUCGACUUCACUGUUGGAUCUUAAACUCAGAGACGCUGAUGUCCUGCCCUUCCACACCCCAGCCAGAACCAAACCGUGCUCACAGGAAGAAUUUUUGUUACUGGAUUUAAGGAAUCUUUGCUGUGAUUUGAGGUGAUAAUUUUCCUGGAUUUUAACUAAGUAGCUGAAUAAAGAAAUCCCCUAUGAUCCUAGUGAGAUGAGGAUGCUGUGUGGGCCGGCGCUUGUGGAUGUGAGAGGGGACAUCUGAACAGGAAAGUAUCUCUGGGGACCAGUCACUUUCUGCACUACUCAUUGCACCGCACUUCUCAUUCCAUCUCUGCCUGUCCACCCUAUCACUUGGGGCUUCUCCCUGACUUUUAAAACCAUGGAUGUGGAUACUCUCGUUCAACUGGGGACAGCAGGGAUGGGGAGGAGAACGUGGGUGUUUGUAUUGAAGCUGGGGGGAGAAGCGUAAGCACCAAAAACCGGGGCUUCCCUCCCAACUAAGGUGGUCCCAAGGCUCCACAACAGGACCCAAGGACUCCAGGAUACACAAUCAGAUGCCACCUGCUUGAAUCUGAAGUCAACACUGGAGUGAGGUGACCGAAGAACCCAGAAGUGACAAGUGUGAUUACACUCAUAGAGACAAUGACUAUCGGUACAUAACCUGGGUGCUAGAGGAGGUUUACUGAGGCCCCAUUGUAGGCCGAAGGUUGUGUAAUCAUAGUCCCUCCUUGCUCAAGUAUGUGAGAGAGCAAGGCGGCAGUGCUACACCGAUGUCACCAGUCAGCACAGAGGUAUUGGUGGAAGACCAGCCUGAAGACCUCCAGUUCUAUUCUGACUUAGCCAUGUGGAGACCAACAAGGCUUUGUCACCUACCUGCUGCCACUUCAUUAGCCAGAAGACAUUAAGACAUUAGAUGUUCUGUUCUACCCCUCUCUACCGUAUUCCUUUGAGACAGGGUCUCUCGGUGAACCUGGCAGCCAGCAAGGCAGGCAGAUCCUUCUGUCCCCACCUCCUACAGUGCUGGGGUUGUGUGUGCAGGUUAGCCACGUCUGAGUUUUCACACCGAACUUAAGGGCUUGAAUUAAGAUCCUCAUUGUCGAACAGUAAGAAUUCACCCACUAAGCUAUCUCUAUAGCCCCCAAAUACCUUUGGAUAUAUGAAAUCACAGGAAUAGGAGACCACUGCCCAGUGUCACUGCUGCCUUGACAACCUGACAAACUUGACAAAACUGAAUGCUGGCAUACGUAAUGACACCGUAAGCUGUGAUCUGACGUAUCACCAGUGCUCAAAACUGCAGAGAUAACGGCGGCCCUCACUGGCAUAUACCAUGGUGGGUUCAAGUUCUGUAAGCUUCCAUUUCUGCUACUUGAUCGACACUAUGACCUCACUCCAUGCUGUGAGCCCCAGCCUACAUAGCAACGAUUGAGACAAUAGCAUCAGGAUGGCUCAACUUCACUGGCUUUGGAAUCUCAUCCUGUUUAUCUAUGAAGAUGUUUCUGGAGUCCUUUCUGUUUCAACAAAAACUCCUGCUCCUGCACACUGAGGAAAUAUUGCUGCAUUGAGGGAAACCAAACCUCGAGCCUGCUUUUCUCUGGUAGCUGCGGCCCCAGGCCACUAGGAAGCAUCAUGCCUGUGUCUCCCGAAGGAAGAUGAAACCUGAUGUGAAAUGAUUAGAGAUAAGACUUUUCAAAAUUUGGGAGCCCAGCUGAAUACCAAAACUGUAUCAGACCAUAAGCCAGAUGUUCCCAGAACUUUUCGCCCAUUUUUUUUUUUAUUUCUGCCUGAAGGAGAAGUUUUCAUUCAUAAAGAAAACAGUGAGCAGAAAUUGUUAUUGCAAAUCAUCAAUUCACGGCUCAUGGUUAUUUAAAAUGAGCUCAUUUGAAAAUAAUCAAAGAUGUUCAUGGGGAUUUAUCACAGAAGUUGUUCAUCUCAGUGGUAUUUAUCAUAUGUAUAGUGUAGAAACAGCCCCAGUGGAUUGCCAUAAGGGAUUCGUUAUAUAAACAGCAGUACUUUCAUUUGAUGGACGGCUGUGCGGCCAUAAAAAAAAAAAAAAAAAAAAAAGCGCAAUUGUUGAAGAAUAUUUAAUGACCUGAGAAAAUGUUGGCCAUAUUUUUAAAGCAAGAAAAGCAUAUUACAAAGUAGCGUAUGUGGCUAGAUCAUAUUUUACAUAUUUAGAACCUAGACGAUCUGCUGGGGUUCCUCCGAUUUGCCAUUUAAGAUUGGCUCAAACUCCUAGUCACGGGACUCUCUGGCUCAAGUCCCAAGAUUCCUGGAGUCCUUGCACAUCUCUACUUGCCGUGGCUUCCCUCGCACCCUGAGUUGAAGGUGAAACUUAACCUCACUCACCUUUUAAGAAUUUGUAGGUGCAUGGACUAAGGCUGAUCUUCAAUAACAAAAUAAAUAAUAGAAAGCCAACCUUCACGUGGAAAC